UUGGAGAUUUCUUUAAAUACUACCAUGAUAAAGAAAUUACCGGAAUAUAUGUUUGAAAGGGAAAACAAUUAGCCUUCGAAUUUCAACCUUCUGUGUAGUCCCACAAAACUCUCUUUUCAUUACAUCAGAGUCGAAGAAAAUAACGUUAAUCCAACGGUUAUAGUAUCGUCGGUAACGUUUACAAAAACAAUCAAUGCAAACACGUUGUUCAUAUUGAACCCACUUCAACACGUUGAGUACCGUGUCGAUCCCUAGGAACCGACGUUGAGAUUUACUCAGUCGAAACAUACUCAUUCGAACAGAUUCUAGAACAAAAAUGUGUUAUGAAAUCCUCCGCAAAACUAACGCAAUAGCGCACAUUAGGUGAAUGUUUCGAAAACUUCAAGUGGGCAAUCUUACCUGCAAAAUGUGGUGCAUGGAUAUACACAAUGCUCCAAUUCCCUUGGAUUAGAUUAACCGCGUUUUAUCGAUAAUGUAAAACAAUAGAAAAAUUAGGAGAGGACGGGGUAAGACGGGACCCCUAAGCAUGCGGUGCAAUCAAACACAAUGGUUACAAAAUUGCAGCAUUUCAUUGUGUCAGCAUCGAUCUUGUUCUUGGAUGUUUUCCACAAUCUCAUUGAUUUUUAGAAGGUUCAUUUUUUAUUUCAUAAUGUUAUAUGAUAAAUCAAAAAAGGUAUAGAUAUGGUGAUACUAAAAUCAUGCGAGGUAACGUUGGCCAUCGCUAGGAGUAUGAAGGCCACAUGAUUCUAGCCAUAUAGCAAAAUUGUACUACAGGUCAAGGCAAUUGUACUAUAGAUCAAGUGUGACAAGAGUGGUUGUUAUUUUCCCUGAAUUACCUAUAACGUGCUCAAUGCGCAACCCUUAUCAUAAUGAACACUAUUACUUGUGGCAUCUGAAAACAAAUCAAAUUUAUCAUGAAUGCGCCUUGAGUUGUGCAACCAACAAUACAAGAAGUGUGAUUUUCUCAAUGAGUUCGUCAAUUACGUGCAUUCAAAUGAUAUCUUUUAUGGUGAACCACUUCUCUUACAAUAGUUGCCGCCUCAAUCCAGGUAUGAAUCGAGUAAAAAUGCCUCAAUAAUUACAUGAAAUGCUUAAAAACCAUGUCGUUUUCUAUAUAAGCACAUUCAACAGACCUGUGUGUUCACUAUAUCAAAUAUAGUAAAUAUAUAAUAUUAUAUAUCAUAGUAAGUAAUAUAGCAUUUAUUAUAUUAAAUAUAUAAUAACUAUAUUUACUAUGUUAACAUUGGUUUCACGAGACAUGUACAUAUUCGUCACUAAAACACUAAAUUUCUGGCGAGCAAAAUAAUAAAUUGGUGCUCGUUGCCAUCUGAAAAGUUUAUUUUUGUUGUUUUAUCGUAACGUUCCAUCUAUACACACGCCCAAAUGGGUAUACAUAAUGUAAUGCAAUACACUAAAAUAAUGUAUUAUAACUGUCCAGGGUUGGUGAAUGACUAGACUAAGCGUAGCAUCGGUACUUCGCGUACCUGCAGGCAUAAAAUAGACUCCAUUCGUGGUCCUUAGCUUCCUGUCCAGUAACUCCUAUCCCUACCUCUCCGUGGUGCCGGCUAGGGUACGAGUAACCAUAGUGAAGGUCGGCUAACCAACCCUGGUGGGAUCUUGGUCGUAUGCUGACAGGGAAGGGGGCCUAUCCGAGCGUCUGCUCACCAUGGAGGUGCGGCUCAAAACAGCGUCUGAUCCCCAUGUUAGGGGCUGCUGAUAACUAUCUUCGUGCCAGCGAGGACUCUGAAAAGAGCUGUGCACGCCGGUCCUCCGGCGAGACAGGGGGUUGGAGCAGGCCCUGCAAGUCAUCCGUAAAAAUGAAACGCACAGGAAAAUUCACAAAGAAAUUGGAGACAGCACAAUCGGAAUAGACCCACGCAAAGAACACGGACUAGAGAUUGGAAACUCGGAACAUGGAACUACAAGUCCUUCAAUUUUCUUGCGAGUACCCGAAUUCUUUCGGAAAUAUUGAGAGUUCGCAAUUUCGACAUCGUAGCGCCGCCGGGGGUGUGCUGGAAAAGUUCGAUGGUGCGAUUGUUCCAAGGUGAGUAUACCAUCUACCAGAGCCAAUCCCCUCGAUGAAUGCUGGAACACCUUAAAAGCAGCAAUUAGCAGCACAGUACAGACUGUCAGAGGGUAUGAACAACGAGGACAACGGAGCGAAUGGUUUGACGACGAGUGCCGAGCGCUUCUGAAAGAGAAGGAUGCAGCACGCGUAGCCACGCUGCAACGAGCGACUCGACAAACCGUGGGCUUUGUGCCGCGGGCCGAAAUGUGCAGGAACAAGGAAGGAGGCAUCUUGACGAAUGAACGCGAGGUGAUCGAAAGGUGGAGGCAGCACUACGAUGAGCACCUGAACAGCGCACAGACAGGAGACCAAGACGUCAUUGAUGAGGACUACACCGGUACACCGAAUAGCGACGACGUACCACGACGAUGGGUGAAGUUAAGGAGGUCAUCAAUCAGCUAAAGAGCUACAAAGCAGCUGGUGUAACCGGUAGGUUCCAUAUCAUAUGUGUCUUUGACACCUUUCAACACACCCACAUCACAACACAACAAACUACACACACAAAAACUGCGCACAAUGCGAAUACUGCAGCGUGUCAUUCCCCUGGUAAUCGAAGGCAGAUGGCUGCGUCGGUUUGAGCUGUAGUGAGAACCGCAUUUGAAGUGUUCUACACACCGCUCACUAGGCAGGGCUCUCCGCCAGAUAGCGAAGGUACAAACCCAUUGUCGGAGUUGGGUUUUUUCCGCUUCCCUCCAACAAUAAGCUUGAACACUCGGCUAAAGGCGAUGGUCAGUCUUUCUGCCUAGAACUAUGAACGGGAGUAGAAGUGCGCGUCGUGUGUAGUAAUUUAAUUUUUGUAUUUUGUGUGUAAUAUGUGUAUUCAUGAAUUUUUGUUGUAGGCAUAAAUGAAAAAAAAGAAACAGUUAGUGGAAGGAAUUGUAGAAUAAUUGAGUUUGUGAAAAAAAGAAAUAGGAACCUGAAAAAUAAUUAAUUAUACAUUUACCUGGAAACCCUGAAAAAGAAAAAAAACUGAAAAAAAGGUAAAGUAAAAUAAAACGAGCAUGUGGUGGCGAGUGGUGGUGGUCUUCGAUCGAUACAGUGCUAACCUCAACUGUGCAGGUCCGCACAGUGGGCCUUUUUUUUAUGUCUUCUCCAAAAUAGGCAUCAACCACAACUUUCUAGGCAGAAAGUGUAGAGAGCCACCAACAAACUCAAGCGAUUGGCUUACAGCAAGACCGAGCACUCUAACCGCAACUUUUACAACCGAUUGCGAAGGACAAUCGAACCUGGACAGACGUGUCCCAGAGGACGAAACAGGAAGACAUAUUCACACAAGGAUAUGGAUAAACAACGUAUCACACCAAAUUGAGGACCACACCACAUUGCUCAAAUACAUAACGAUUGCGCAAGUAUACAAAACCAUAAACUGUGACGUCACAAAUAGUAAAGUAUAUCAAAACACAUAGAAAAGUAUAUGUUUAGAAUUAAAUUAAAAGUAAAAGAAGUAUUUACACAUAGAAUUUAUAUAGUACGCCACUACAAACAUAAUACACGUGUAAGAAAUUAAAAGUUUGGUUUACAUAAAUUUUCGUUUGUACACAUA